AGUCAUUCCACAGUCUGAUACUGCGUUUUGCUCCAAAGAAUGUGGUUUUUCCCUUCAUGGGAAUGUUGUGCAGGUUGUAUCUUGCAUCAAUGCACCACAACGAAAAUGCUUCACGGGUGCAAGCUACGACUUCUGCAGGGCAGGCUGUUUAUAAAGUUGUCUAUCCAAAGGCGAAGAUGGGGGAAGGUGUUGUGAAGCCCGUGAAAACAGAUCCAACAUUCAACUAUGUACAUGACCUCAUGAGGCUGCUCAUGGAGGUUUUUGAGGACCCAACAUCAUUUGACGAGGAAAUGAAGACUAUCCCCAUCCCUCCAGACCUUUCAGCAGAAAAUACACGCACUCCGAAGGCUGAGCUGGUUGCCCGUCACGUCUCCCGCUUCAAUCUAGAGGUGGUCUGAAGCCUACGUAGUCACCAGAUGGGAACUGCUGCCGUAUCCGCUGCACCACACAUGACGGGAGGACGACCCGACAACUAUGUCCUAAAUAUCCCCAGCACCAGCUUACAAAGCUGCGAUAGGCAAGAUGCCUGAAACGCCUAAGGGAAAAAGAGUAGAACUUUCAGACCACCUGUUUUCAACAAUAACCUCUUAUAGGCUGGGCCUACACUGGGCCUUACUGUGCACCCCCCACCUCCCAACGAAACCAACUAUUUUUUAAUGGUCUGACCAUGCUGAACAUAAAAAAAUAGUUGGCUUCGUUGGGAGGUGGGGGUGCACAGUAAGACCCCGUUGCUCGCGGCCUAAUAGUUUUAUUCUGUUUUUCUUCUAAUGGUAAAUUGAUUCACAUAAUAUUAAUAGUAUAAUAUUGCUUUGGUUUUGUUUAGUAGGAGCUUAGACAAUAUGACUUACUCUUCAUCUGUUGUGUGCCUCACAGGUCCAUAAUCAUACUUGUAAAUAUUGUAAAUAUUUUGUAGACUGUAUAUGUUUAGACACACAGGCUCCAGGCCUGGAUGUUGUGUCAUACAGGUAAUUGAUUCUGGCACUUGGCUCAUUCGUCGUAGUACCUAAUAAAUACAAUAAGACAAAAUAACUUCUGUGUAAAGUGACCUUGACCUCAGAGUACAACAUGACUGCAUAGGACAAUACAGAUUCAGGAAGCAACAUCUGUUUUCCAGUCAUACUUUUAUUGAACAUUUUUUUAAAUCACUGAUUAGUUCUACAUAACAAUGAUUGUUAUACAGUAAAUAGAUGGCUGAGACAACGGUGAACAGGUGAGAUUUCUCGUAACUGGUAUUGCUGAAGCAACAUCUAUUCGAGUAGGAUUGUUAUUUACAAAAAAUGGUAUCAAUGACUUCACAUAACAAACAUGGUACAGUUGGCUGGUACUACAGCAAACGGGUGAGAACGGUGAGAUUACUCGUUUUCCUUUACAAGUGUACUGGUAUUACUGUUGCUACUAUAAAUGGUAGAGAUGAUUAAACAUGCAACAUAUUUUCCUAGAAGUUAAUAAGGUUUUGUGGUGAUAGUGGUAGGCUCCUCGUCUUCUGAGGAGAAAUAUAUAUAUCUAUAUCUGUCAUAUGUCGUAGAUCUAUCAUCUUCGGCGAGAUAUAUAUAUAUAUAUAUAUAUAUAUAUCUCGCCGAAGAUGAUAGAUAUAUGACAUGACAUCGUUCUCAACAAACUAGCUUAGCCUAAAGCUCAUCAGUUUUACCUUUGGGAUUUCUCUACAGCAGACGUUCUCCACUUCGUUGGGCAUAGUGGCACAAUUCCCGCAGGUGCACCUAGGUAGAGAUGUUAUAAGUUAUAACGCUGUAUUUUGACGGACAAAAGUAGUCAACAAUAUGCCAUGUUGGGACAUAAAAAGCUUGUUACGGACGCUUGAAUAGUACGAGUAGUCUACUAGCCGCAAGCUAAGUCCGAAAAACUACGCUAAAUACAUGAUAAAUCGCCUGUGUGUAUAAUAGCAUAAACAAAAGCUUACCACUGUGAAAUGUCCUGGUCCAUUCUACGACUAAAAUCACGCUUGUCGUUAGCGUCUUCAGCUCCAUUAUCGCUUUCGGGGUCCGACUCAGGCUCAAAUUGGUACGGCAGCACUGCAGCCAUAGUAGACAGAGUGCCUGAAGAGACGUCAGCACUCAGCACCCUGUCAGCACCAAGAUUCUAAAUGCCUCAAAAUUCUAAGCAACAGGGUGUUUCACAUAGGGGUUGUAAUACUCAUAAAGUAUGAGAAAAAAAUAAUGUGCUAGACAACCCUUUAUUGUUGUAAAUCAAUUCUAUGAGGUCAAACAAAUUAAAUAAUGAACAGUAAAUAGGGGCAUAAUAGGCCCCCUU